rnacentral:tRNA from 1 species
GAGGGUGUAGCUCAGUGGUAGAGCACGUGCCUAACAUGCACAAGGUCCUGGGCUCAAUCCCCAGUGCCUCCG